AUCCAGAUGAUGAGUCUCAAAUAGGACGAAACGUGCGUCCUGGAU
rnacentral:hammerhead_ribozyme from 1 species